GAAACUCGAGCUAAUACCGCAUACGACCUUCGGGUGAAAGUGGGGGACCUUCGGGCCUCACGCUAUUAGAGAAGCCUGCGUUGGAUUAGCUUGUUGGUGGGGUAAAGGCCUACCAAGGCGACGAUCCAUAGCUGGUCUGAGAGGACGAUCAGCCACACUGGAACUGAGACACGGUCCAGACUCCUACGGGAGGCAGCAGUAGGGAAUCUUGGGCAAUGGGCGAAAGCCUGACCCAGCGAUGCCGCGUGUGUGAAGAAGGCCUUCGGGUUGUAAAGCACUUUCAGCAGUGAAGAAAUCCUCGGGGCUAAUAUCCCCGGGAGUUGACGUUAACUGCAGAAGAAGAUCCGGCUAACUCCGUGCCAGCAGCCGCGGUAAUACGGAGGGAUCGAACGUUAAUCGGAAUUACUGGGCGUAAAGCGCGCGUAGGCGGUUCGUUAAGUGGGAUGUGAAAGCCCCGGGCUCAACCUGGGAAUUGCAUUCCAAACUGGCGGACUAGAGUAUGGUAGAGGGGGGUAGAAUUUCCUGUGUAGCGGUGAAAUGCGUAGAUAUAGGAAGGAAUACCGAUGGCGAAGGCAGCCCCCCUGGACCAAUACUGACGCUCAGGUGCG
rnacentral:rRNA from 1 species